rnacentral:rRNA from 1 species
AUUGAACGCUGGCGGCAUGCUUUACACAUGCAAGUCGAACGGUAACAGGCCGCAAGGUGCUGACGAGUGGCGAACGGGUGAGUAAUGCAUCGGAACGUGCCCAGUCGUGGGGGAUAACUACUCGAAAGAGUAGCUAAUACCGCAUACGAUCUAUGGAUGAAAGCGGGGGACCGUAAGGCCUCGCGCGAUUGGAGCGGCCGAUGUCAGAUUAGGUAGUUGGUGGGGUAAAGGCUCACCAAGCCAACGAUCUGUAGCUGGUCUGAGAGGACGACCAGCCACACUGGGACUGAGACACGGCCCAGACUCCUACGGGAGGCAGCAGUGGGGAAUUUUGGACAAUGGGCGCAAGCCUGAUCCAGCAAUGCCGCGUGCAGGAAGAAGGCCUUUGGGUUGUAAACUGCUUUUGUACGGAACGAAACGGCUCUGGUUAAUACCCGGGGCUAAUGACGGUACCGUAAGAAUAAGCACCGGCUAACUACGUG